GAAGAACGAAGGCUUCAGCAAAGAACCAAUCCAAAGAUGAGCUAAACAAUUAUUUAUAUUUGAGCAAGAAGGGGCCUGUGCAUUGCCGGAGGGAUAGAUGCUAUACAAUUUUACAAGACUUCACAUCACUAAUUUUUAAUGUUUAAAAACCAGUAACGUUUAAACACAUCCAUUUAAAUACGUUCUAUAAAACUCUGGAAUUGUGUUGCUUCAAAACAGGCCGCACUGGACUAGAAAUUCCAUCUGUUCAUAAGCUAGAUACAAGGUUUUAACUGUUAUGCUUUUAUCGUAUUGAAAUAAAUCAUAAAGUUACAAUUUCA